rnacentral:rRNA from 1 species
GGCCAGACUCCUACGGGAGGCAGCAGUGAGGAAUAUUGGUCAAUGGUCGGGAGACUGAACCAGCCAAGCCGCGUGAGGGAGGAAGGUACAGAGUAUCGUAAACCUCUUUUGUCAGGGGACAAAGACUGGGACGCGUCCCCGGAUGAGUGUACCUGAAGAAAAAGCAUCGGCUAACUCCGUGCCAGCAGCCGCGGUAAUACGGAGGAUGCGAGCGUUAUCCGGAUUUAUUGGGUUUAAAGGGUGCGCAGGCGGAGGUGCAAGUCAGUGGUCAAAUUGCGGGGCUCAACCCCGUACUGCCGUUGAAACUGCAUCCCUUGAGUGCGCGAGAAGUAUGCGGAAUGCGUGGUGUAGCGGUGAAAUGCUUAGAUAUCACGAAGAACCCCGAUUGCGAAGGCAGCUUACUAAACUGUGACUGACAUUGAUGCUCGAAAGUGUGGGUAUCAAACAGGAUUAGAUACCCCGGUAC